rnacentral:lncRNA from 1 species
AGUGAAUGGAGUUGCACCAAGUACAGGAACUCCCCCAAAUCCUCGUCAGAAUUUCUAAACCCUAAAAUCUCAUCUUUCGAAAUUUGAGGUUUUGAUUUUCUCAAAUUUUAAUUCCUUCAAAAUAUAACAAGUAUAUUUGUGGGUAUAUAUGUAUACACACUUUGAUGUAUAUAAAUUUUUUAAUUUUUUAGGUACAGAUCAUUAGGAAUCAAAAUCUAAGAGAUAGACAUUGAGUAAAAUCAAGUGGAGCUCAUAGAUUACUUUGUGAGGCACAUGUUGAAUCUCACGGGUUUCGCCGUCAGAAAUUUCGUUGUUGAGGCCACUUUCCACCCAUCUCUUUUUCCUUUCGUUGAGAUCAUCUGGGUUCCUAACCUUCUUUAAGUUGUAUUUCAUUUAUGUCCUUGUAGAGAUAACUUUUAGUUUUGACUCUUUUUUUCUUUUUUUUGGGUAGAGAAAGAUCCAAUUAGACGUAUUCUUCCCAUUGAUUUUGGUUGGAUAUAUUCAAAGCCUUAAAUAAGCGAGUUCUUGUUCUUUAUCAUUUG